rnacentral:rRNA from 1 species
UACGUAGGGGGCUAGCGUUGUCCGGAAUCAUUGGGCGUAAAGAGCGUGUAGGCGGUCCGGUAAGUCCGCUGUGAAAGUCGGGGGCUCAACCCUCGAAUGCCGGUGGAUACUGUCGGGCUAGAGUGCGGAAGAGGCGAGUGGAAUUCCUGGUGUAGCGGUGAAAUGCGCAGAUAUCAGGAGGAACACCGGUGGCGAAGGCAGGUCUCUGGGCUGACACUGACGCUCAUGCACGAAAGCGUGGGGAGCAAACAGG